rnacentral:pre_miRNA from 1 species
UUUUAUGGAUGAGCAAAGAAAGUGGUUUGCUGAGAAGGAAUCUACUCCUGGUGAAGAUGCUGUGAA